rnacentral:piRNA from 1 species
ACCUCCUAGUCUGCUUUUAGCUUGUC